CCCUGGUGAGGAGAACUAUCCCGCAGUCUGAUUCAGUAUAAACAGGCCCUGGUGAGGAGAACUAUCCCUCAGUCCUGAUUCAGUAUAAACAGGCCCUGGUGAGGAGAACUAUCCCUCAGUCUGAUUCAGUAUAAACAGGCCCUGGUGAGGAGAACUAUCCCUCAGUCUGAUUCAGUAUCAGCAGGCCCUGGUGAGGAGAACUAUCCCUCAGUCUGAUUCAGUAUAAACAGGCCCUGGUGAGGAGAACUAUCCCUCAGUCUGAUUCAGUAUCAGCAGGCCCUAUUGAGGAGAACUAUCCUGCAGUCUGAUUCAGUAUAAACAGGCCCUAUUGAGGAGAACUAUCCCUCAGCCUGAUUCAGUAUAAACAGGCCCUGGUGAGGAGAACUAUCCCUCAGUCUGAUUCAGUAUAAACAGGCCCUGGUGAGGAGAACUAUCCCUCAGUCUGAUUCAGUAUCAGCAGGCCCUGGUGAGGAGAACUAUCCCUCAGUCUGAUUCAGUAUCAGCAGGCCCUGGUGAGGAGAACUAUCCCUCAGUCUGAUUCAGUAUCAACAGGCCCAGGCCCUGGUGAGGAGAACUAUCCCUCGGGCAAAGAGGUCAUGUUGGUGUCAUUUCUGUGACACCAUUGGAAGGGCGACACCUGUGGGAGAGGUGUGGGGGAUGCUUAAGAGGAUGAGUGGGGUUAGAAGCGAGUGGGAUUAUACAGUGUUGGCGAGUGGGAAGGAUGUGGCAGUAACAGAUGAGAAGGCAGAGAUGAUGGCGAAAGUGUUUGUCCAAGUGAAUAGCUCUGUAAAUUUGUCAGAGGAGGGGCAGAGGGGGAGAGAGAGAGCGAGAGAGGAGCUUCCUGGAGUGUUGGAUAGGAGGGAGGAUGUAAAUGAUACGUUGAAUGUGUCAUGGCUGAGGUCAAAAGGGCAAUAGGUACGGCUGGGUUAACUUCACCUGGGAAAGAUGAGGUGUGUUAUAUUAUGUUGGCCCAUCUUAGUGAUGAGGCACUGGAUAAGGUAUUGGUGUUGUACAACAGAGUGUGUGAGGAGGGGAAACUACCAGGUAGCUGGAAGAAGGCAGUAGUGGUACCAAUCCGGAAACCAGGAAAGGACCCAAUGAGGCCAACAAGCUAUCAGCCAAUAGCUUUAACAUCACAAGUAUGUAAGAUUAAGAACAAUGGACCCAGUGCUCUGAUUGGAAGGAGAGAUCAGGAAGAGGAGGGGAACUAUGGACCCAGUGCUCUGAUUGGAAGGAGAGGUCAGGAAGGGGAACUAUGGACACAGUGCUCUGAUUGGAAGCAGAGGUCAGGAAGGCUCAGGUGAACAAGGAGACUGUUGUAGCUGUAUUAUUUGAUGUGGAGAAGGUGUAUGAUGUGGAAGGAGGGGUCAGGAAGGCUCAGGUGAACAAGGAGACUGUUGUAGCUGUAUUAUUUGAUGUGGAGAAGGUGUAUGAUGUGGAAGGAGGGGUCAGGAAGGCUCAGGUGAACAAGGAGACUGUUGUAGCUGUAUUAUUUGAUGUGGAGAAGGUGUAUGAUGUGGAAGGAGGGGUUGUUAAUCAAGGUGGAUAUUAUGGGGGUAGGAGGAAGAACACACCACUGGAUAAAGGACUUCCUGUUUGGAAGGUCUAUCCAGGUGAGGGUGGGGAAGUCUCUAUCACCCAGCUACCCUGUGGAUAACGAUACACCGCAGGGGAGCGUGAUUAGUCUUCUGUUGUUCUCAAUCGUGAUCAAUGAUGUUUACUCUCAUGUACGGACGGAUAUUGGGAGGUCGUUAUUUACAGAAGAUGGGGCCUUAUGGAAGAGGGGAAGAAAUGUGCCAUACAUAGUCAGGAAGGUACAGGAAGCAAUUGAUGAGGUAGAGUGGUGGGCAUUAAUGUGGGGAUUCAGGUUCUCUGUAGAGAAAACUCAGUUCUUUACCAGGAGGAAGGUGGGAGAUGAGGUAUGCUUGAGGUUAUAUGGGAGAAACUUGGAGAGGGUGGGGUCCUUCAGGUUCCUUGGGGUAAACUUUGACCCUAGACUGACCUGGGCAGAACACAUUGAGAGAGUGGUGGAAACGUGUAAGAAGGUGCUAAAUGUGAUGCGCUGUCUGACGGGGAAGGAGUGGGGGGCUGGACGUUCCUCAUUGAGGACCAUGUAUGUUGCACUGAUCCGGUCUGACAGGGAAGGAGUGGAGGGGGGGCUGGGCGUUCCUCAUUGAAGACCAUGUAUGUUGCAUUGAUCCAGUCUGACGGGGAAGGAGUAGGGAGCUGGGCAUUCCUCAUUGAGGACCAUGUAUGUUGCAUUGAUCCGGUCUGACGGGGAAGGAGUGGAGGGGCUGGGCGUUCCUCAUUGAGGACCAUGUAUGUUGCAUUGAUCCGGUCUGACGGGGAAGGAGUAGGGAGCUGGGCAUUCCUCACUGAGGACCAUGUAUGUUGCAUUGAUCCGGUCUGAUGGGGAAGGAGUGGGGGCUGGGCGUUCCUCAUUGAGGACCAUGUAUGUUGCAUUGAUCCGGUCUGACAGGGAAGGACUGGGGGCUGGGCGUUCCUCAUUGAGGACCAUGUAUGUUGCACUGAUCUGAUCUGUAAUAGACUGUGGCAGCAUAGCGUAUGGUUCAGCAUCCCGGACAUCAUUGGAAAGUCAUACAGGGGCAAGGACUCAGAAUAUGUAGUGGGGUGUUUCGGACCUCCCCAGUGACUGAACUACAGGUGGA
ensembl:lncRNA